rnacentral:rRNA from 1 species
ACGAUGAAGAGUUUGAUCCUGGCUCAGGAUGAACGCUAGCGGCAGGCUUAACACAUGCAAGUCGAGGGGUAUAGUUCUUCGGAAUUAGAGACCGGCGCACGGGUGCGUAACGCGUAUGCAAUCUACCUUUCACAGAGGGAUAGCCCAGAGAAAUUUGGAUUAAUACCUCAUAGUAUGCAGAGUUGGCAUCAACACUGUAUUAAAGUCACAACGGUGAAAGAUGAGCAUGCGUCCCAUUAGCUAGUUGGUAAGGUAACGGCUUACCAAGGCUACGAUGGGUAGGGGUCCUGAGAGGGAGAUCCCCCACACUGGUACUGAGACACGGACCAGACUCCUACGGGAGGCAGCAGUGAGGAAUAUUGGACAAUGGGCGCAAGCCUGAUCCAGCCAUGCCGCGUGCAGGAUGACGGUCCUAUGGAUUGUAAACUGCUUUUGUACAGGAAGAAACACUCCUUCGUGAAGGAGCUUGACGGUACUGUAAGAAUAAGGAUCGGCUAACUCCGUGCCAGCAGCCGCGGUAAUACGGAGGAUCCAAGCGUUAUCCGGAAUCAUUGGGUUUAAAGGGUCCGUAGGCG